rnacentral:lncRNA from 1 species
CCAAAAGGAAGGAAAGUAAGCUUUUUAAUAUGAAAGCGGGAAUUCACUUUUGUUUUUUCGUUGCCUGUAAAGAUUCCUCAGCAUUUUUACCAGCUUUUCUUUUUUCAGGAUCCAAUUUCGGACGCAAUUUUCUUUCAACUGUGUCAUUUGAAGGUGAAACUUGGGACUCGCACGGAACCGCUGCACCUAAUCCAAGCCUACAGAAAUCUCAAAAUAAAAUAAAUUAAUAAUAGUUAUGCAAUGUAGCAUUUUAGCCAUGGACAUGAUCACAUGAAGGAGCAGGUACUGACCUAUGAGGUCGAGCCUUUAAUACUAAUUUAGUUGAUUCAUCCUCUGAAGAUUUUACUCAUAUUUUUGACCCAUUGCUCAGCCUGCAUACAAGUAUCAAGCACACAUAAGCUAUUAAGCUUUAUAGGUCCAGACAUGCUAAUGACAAAAAAUAUGCACACGUAGUAAGAGACAUGAAUGAAUAAUUGGAAUUAUCUUCUGCAUUUCAGAGUUAGAAAGACGACAUAUGGGGGUCCGUUAAUAAAUUUAGGCAUCGGUAUGCUGAGAGGAAUACACAGUCAAGCCGCAUAAUAAUUCCACAGUUUGUGUGCAAAGGAUUGAUUUAUGUCACAAUGAUUUUUAUGGGGAGAAAUAUAUAAAAGGGUUACAAAAAUUAGUAUAAGCAAGUGGGAUAAUAGAGUGUACACUACCCAAAAUGUUGGGACAACGGAGUAUGGUUGGUGUCAAUACGGUCUUGUAGGCUAUACUAGACCAUAGAUGUGUUAUGGGACUGCAUAUCACAUCAUUCUUGUCGAGUUAUUCAACUUCAGUUUUGUCUUAGACGGCGCUUUGAUAAUCUCUACAAGCUACUCAACAACCCUAACUUAUCUUUCUUCAGAAUUUGGCAUAACAUAAAUUUCUUCUUUCUUUUUUGCUACUUCAAAAUUUUCAACUGGCUUAGCCAACUUGUGUAAAAUACUUGAUGUUUGUUCAUACCUAAUAGGCUAAAUAUAAGGAGCGUAACAUUUGGAUGCUUCCACAGACCUAGUCUUUAGGUCAUCAGGUCUUCCAUCAUCCCAUUUCAACUCUUAUCGCAAUCUCAACAAAAAGUCACAGGUAUAGGGUACAUGCCAAGAAGGACGAUCAAUGUUUCUGAUUUGUUCAUCUUCAAAAUGAACUUGAUAGUUCAUGCUCAAGUUGCAUAAUUUGAUUCUCCACUGAAAAUAAGGAAUUUCAUACUGAAAAGCAUAUAGUUUUACUUCAAAUAAUUCAACUUUAUUUUCCAACAACAGAAUUACAUCACUUUAUAGUCAACAUAAGAAAAACCUUAAUUUUUAUAGGGCUUAGGUUACCUAAUUUAAUAAGGAAACUAAUAGAGCUAAUGCUCUUAUUUCAGCAGUAGAUACAUCAGCUGGAGCUGGACAUAAUACAAGCCCAAUUGCAGGGCAUAGCACACGUGCAUAUGCAGCAGCAACAAGGCCCAUUGUGCUGAGAAGCAAAUUGGCACAUGCCUUGACAAUGACAGCAAGGUGCAUAUCAAUUCACGAAAGUGCACCACACAGUAACAAGGCUUAUGUAACAGACUUCUAACUGAAGUUAAUAUACUUGAUCAGAGAGUUAAAUAUUGGGAAUUGUACUGUUAACUAGAGUUAGUGUACGGUUGGUAAAUGUAAUGCUAUAUAUACAUGUAAUAGCUGAUAGGGUUCAAUAUAAUGAAAAUAUCUAGAAUUAAUUUUCUCUUAGCUCUGUCUUCAUUUCACAAUGUUUAUCUUCUGAUUGUUCAUAUCAAUGGAGCUUGAUGAAAUCUUACAGAAACAGACUCCUACUUACUAUUACCAUCUCCUAUAGUUAAAAGAUACGUAAUUAUUACCUAACCCAAAAUAACCUAAUUAUAAUCAUUUUACCCGUAGAUAAUAAUAGGAAAUAAUCUCCUAACAAUCCCUCAUAUUUUCCAGUCUUUGUGUUACGUUCCACAUCAAUUAGUAUUUAAAGCGUACAGAAAAUGGAAUAAACCAUCACAAACAAAAAUCCUAUUGUCGACGAAAUAUUCAAACUUAAUUUUCUUCGAUAGUUUCUUCAUUGCAAACUUGAAACUUACAGUUUAAUAUUGGGAAAAAAAUAUUUAUGUCUAAUUUGAUAGUUUACAUAACUUACCCUGCCUAAAAUGACAUAUGGAACUUUUAUUUGGUAUUUUUGGAUGGGUGAGUAACAUCAACAUUAGUAUAGGAUUCAAAUAAGCAUACAAACCCACAAACAAAAAGAGUAAAUACAAAUAUUUGUAAGUGUAAACCGUUAAGUAAGAAAGGAAUUACCAAUUUGAAAGCCGUACCCAACUUGACCAAUUGAGGAUAGGAAGCUUUCUUGGGAGCCUCAUGUUUUGUGCUCAUCGCAACUUUUUCACCACCUAAGCAUCAAAACUCAAUAUUGGUUUGAUCAAAAUAAUGUUGUAUAUAAACAUAGACCCAUAAAUGUGUUUACACUAUAUAUAUAGCAUGAAUGACAUAUAUCAGGAUAGGGUAAAUAAAGAUAAUCAAAUAUCAGAAAAAAUAAUUGAGAGAGAAAAAGAUGUAACAGGAUAAAAGUAAUGGAUUUGAGAAAUGAUUUGGGGAGAAAAAAGAAACUUUCUGUUAUGUAUCGAGGGGAGAGACUAUUAGGGCUUUGAGAUUGAGAGAAACUGCACAGCUUUAACCCCAACUGACCAACUCCAGUUCUUAUUUCUUUUUCUUUUCUUAGUUUUCAUUUUAUUCUUGGAACUCUGCAUUUUUAUAACCCUAGAGACACCCAUACCCUAAACUUCAACAGCAGUUUUCAAAGACACCUUCAGGUUAUUUGGCCAGCCGAAUCUCAGUCAUAAAAAUAGGUAAACGUUGAGAAAGGACAAGAAGGUGAUUGAACUAGAUAACUUGGACUUGCCAAAUACCCUCCCGAAAAUCAGCCGCCUGGGACUGAUUCCAGUUAUGCUUUUUAUUUUGUCAGACUUUACUAGAAGAGGGAGAAAUCAAUGCCAAAAUCACAACUACUAUUAGUACCAGACCAAGUGCUGCAUUAUUACUACGAUGCUUACAAAAUUCUACAUUGCUUUGUCAAUAAAAAUGACUCCUCGCAAUAACAUUUAACUGGAGUACUAGUGUCAAAAUAACACCGAAAAAAUGAUACCUCAAACAGAAUUAAUCUUCAUAAAUCACAAAAAGAAAACGGUGAAGCCAAGAAUUGCAGCUAUAUUAUUAAAAAUUAAAACUUCGAAUGAUACAUGAAAAAUAAAGACCAAUAAACCAGUUAAACAAAAAAUUGGCAAAUCAAAAAUGGCUUAUUACCUUUUGAUGAUUAUUCUGAAAUGAUGAGAAAAAGCAAAUUACUAGAGGGUAUGAAUCCUAAUGAGAGUUAAUGGAAACGCAGAGGGAUCAGAGUUGAUCGGAAAAGCUUUUGAUUAAUCUUUCCGGCGUACGGUCGGCGUAAUUAAACUGUUGACAGAGAAACAGAAAAGGACGCUGAUGAUGAAGUCGUUUUGAAAUUCUCAGCUUGUGAUUUAUUUAAUGCGCUUUUGAUCCUCAUUUUUCUC